rnacentral:rRNA from 1 species
CGGCCGCGUCGACCCGCCCUGGGAGGUACGGCCGCCAAGGACGUAAACUACAAAGGAAUUAGACGGGGCCCGGCACAAGACGGCGGAGCAUGCGGAUUAAUUCGAUGCAACGCGAAGAACCUUACCAAGGCUUGACAUGCACGGCGACACUGCAGAGAUGUGGUGGCAUUUAGUUGGUCGUGUGCAGGUGGUGCAUGGUUGUCGUCAGCUCGUGUCGUGAGAUGUUGGGUUAAGUCCCGCAACGAGCGCAACCCUUGCCCUAUGUUGCCAGUCGACGCGGCCG